UCAAACUUGCUGAUAGCUGGUUCUCCGCGAAAUCUAUUUAGGUAGAGCGUCAGACGAAUACUCCAGGGGGUAGAGCACUGAAUGGGCUAGGGGUCCUCACCGGAUUACCAAACCUUCUCAAACUCCGAAUACCUGGAAGUACUAUCUGGCAGACACACGGCGGGUGCUAACGUCCGUCGUGAAAAGGGAAACAACCCAGACCGCCAAUUAAGGCCCCUAAGUAACAGCUAAGUGCGAAACGAUGUGGAGGUGCUGAGACAAUCAGGAGGUUGGCUUAGAAGCAGCCAUCCUUGAAAGAAAGCGUAACAGCUCACUGAUCUAGCGCCUCUGCGCGGAAAAUGUAACGGGACUAAAGUUGUUCGCCGAAAUUGCGGACUCGAAAGAGUGGUAGCGGAGCGUUCCGUAAGCCUGUGAAGGUGAACCGUGAGGUUUGCUGGAGGUAUCGGAAGUGAGAAUGCUGACAUGAGUAGCGACAAAGAGGGUGAGAGACCCUCUCGCCGAAAGACCAAGGGUUCCUGCGUAAAGCUAAUCUGCGCAGGGUUAGCCGGCCCCUAAGGUAAGGCCGAAAGGCGUAGCCGAUGGGAACCACGUUAAUA
rnacentral:rRNA from 1 species